AUGCGAGAUCUAAUCUAACAACCUUAGAUUGCAUGACGACACGACAUCAUUCGAUAUACGGAGAAAUGGUAUAUUCUAGCACCCAAAGCAUCUCAUCUCUACUCGUCACUGCCGAUCCUUUCGAUCUCCUUUCCCCCUCCAAUCACUGCAAGAGCGUCGAAAUUGAUUGGUGACUUUUUUUCUCUCAUCUUUGAAUCCGAUGGCGAAGCCGGAGUUCUUGAAGAGGGAGGAGGACUUCUUCCCGUUUUCCAUCUUGGAUUCUCGAGAAGGAACAUGUCCGAGCAUUCAUCAAAGAUAGUGGGGACAGAGAUGUGCUUGUGCUACAUGUUCAAGAUCCAUUUCACAGAUUAUUGCUGCAUGGUGUAUGUGAGGAAUGCUGACACAGAUUAGGAAGAAAUUGUGUUCUCAAGAGAUACCUCCAAAUAUCGCACUAUUCCAUUUUCCCAAAAUGGCAAAGAAUGGGGUUUUAUAGUUUGCUUAAAGGGAAACCCAUAUAUAUUAAUUGAUUGUAAAUGUAAUCACUUGCAAAUGGAAAUUAUUUAUCAUAGAGAGCUAUUGGCUUAACAUAUCGGCACUGCUUCAGAUACAAUGGUGGAUUAAGUAGCUACAGCUUAAUAAUAUAAUAAUAUUCAUGUCAA